UACGUAGGGGGCGAGCGUUAUCCGGAUUCACUGGGUGUAAAGGGAGUGUAGACGGCCAUGCAAGCCAGGGGUGAAAGCCCGGGGCCCAACCCCGGGACUGCCCUUGGAACUGCAUGGCUGGAGUGCGGGAGGGGCAGGCGGAAUUCCUGGUGUAGCGGUGAAAUGCGUAGAUAUCAGGAGGAACACCGGCGGCGAAGGCGGCCUGCUGGACCGCGACUGACGUUGAGGCUCGAAAGCGUGGGGAGCGAACAGG
rnacentral:rRNA from 1 species